CGCAUCCAGGCGCCCAGCGGCCGCCGGCACCGGCACCCGCGCCCGGCCCGCCGCGCCGGCCGCCCUCCCGUCCUCCCGACCGCGCAGGCAAGGGGCUGGGGCUUUUCCUCGCCUUUCUUUUUAAAUCCGAGUUAUCAGCCAAGUUUUUUUUUUUUUUUUUUUUUUUUUGGGGGGGGGGGGGGCGGGGGGGGGGAUUGUUUUGGGGUUUUUAAAGUGGAAAAAAAAUCUAUUCCUUUCUGCAGAUGCGUUCCUUCUCUCUCCCUCCUCCUCCUCCUCCUCCUCCUCCACGUUCUGCCCCGUCUGAUGGGCCAGGCAGGACUGACAUGGGUAACAAACGCUCUGCGGACACAAAUUAGGGCUUGUAAUUGAAAUUUGUUGCCUUGAUCUGUCAGCACUUCCAGGCAGGAGACCUGUGGGAAGAACUCGCUCAUUAGUGUCACUGCGGCGGCGGGGGCCGGGCGGAGCCGCGGGGCGGGGGCGGUGCGGCUCGGCCGCCCGCAGCCCAAUCAGCGCCGCCCCGGCCCCGCCGCCCCGGCCCCGCCGCCCUUCCAGGGGGCCCCGCCGCCGCGGCCGGGGGGAGCGCCCCACCGUCCCGCGCCCGCCUCUGCCCAGGCCCGAACAGCCCCGCGCCCCCGGCCCGCGGCAGAUGCACCCGCAAUGAACGCUAAAGGGACACCCCCGAUCCCAGCCGUAUCUCCCCCCGGAACGCAGAGGGAAGGGGGGGCUCUCGGGGAGCGCAGCGUUUGGGCCGGGAAAACCGUUCGGACGUUAAAAAAUGACGUUGUGCCCUGUCUUGCUCCGUGAUUGAAUCUGAAGGAAAUCAGAUGUGCGAGAGUGAUCGAAACGUGCUAAGCUAGAGGAUCUUGCAAGAGUUUAAACGCCGUCGCGGAGGAGAUGAGAUCGAUAGAGGAGAGGAAGGAAGGAAAUGGAUGUUAUCUGUCCGAGGGCGCUCCCGCAGCCUCCUCGCCCGCCCGCCCAUCUCCGACGGCACCUUCCGCCGCCCCGCUCCGCGCUCCCUCCGCCCGCGGCCGGCCGCCGGGCCACACACGCCACCGCCACCGGUGCGACGGCCCCGGCGAGGCCCGCGGGAGCAGAGCCAGCCGCCGCGCGUUCCCGCAGAAGAGACCCUGACCCCUUGCUCCGCACCGCUCCGCAUCCCUCCAUGCCGCACAGCGGGGUGCGCGCAGCCUGCUCGCCCUACGGCGGAUGGACAGAUCGGCCGGAUUGUUUUUAUUUCUAGAGGAAUGACCCUUGUUGAUUUUUUUACUCCUCGCUAGAUUUCUGUAGGUUGCUAUGUGGCAUGUUGUUUUCAUUUCUUGACUUUUUGAAAUAACUGUUUGGAUUUAAAUUUAUCGAACAACCUGUUAUCCAUAUGUCUGUCCGAUUAAUUUUUUUAUGGGAUGAUGAAAGAGAGAAGGAUCUAUAUAUAUAAUGAUCUGCUAAUGGAAUAAUAUAUAUAUCCAAAACACCUUUCUGGGGUUACUUUUAUUUCCGGACUUUAAAAUGCAGUCUGGGUUUUUAGGCAAUUGGGUGAGGUGAAUUGAUGUAGAAGAGUCACAUAUUUAGACUUCAGGGAAAAAAAAAUAUAUUGUUUUACACCAGAAAGAUAUUUUCCUGUCCUCCCUUAGAAAAUCUUGAAUGACAUUUACAGGAAGGUCAUGGCCAUGUUUUGCCAUUCACAGUGUGAUUUCUGCAGAUCUUUUCGAACAUUGAACCCGGGUGCAUCCAGAGAGUAAAAUAUCCACAGCGCCCUUUUCACUUCAAAGACACGGUUUUCUGUAACUAGCCAGCAGGGAUCCAUAGGAACAGUCACUAAGGAAAACAUAUUUCUAUCAUUAGCCUCUUCUUCCCUCCGCCCCCCAAGUGAGUCUAAUCGCUUCACCCUAAGGAGACGUGGUGUGUAAAAAUGAUAGCAAGGAGCUCACCGCGUCUAGUCAGUCAAACAUUAUCAACUGCAGAAAAAUUAUAGGCGCCGGUGAGAGAGUCGUCUGUGAAUCCUGUUUUUGUGCAUCUCAAGUGCACCUUCUCCCCCGUUUCUCUCCCUUGCCCUUGCUUGCGGCUGAGUGUGUGUCGGGGGCGAAUUAGCACUUCCAAUUUUGCUAUAAUGGGCUGAACAGCAAGCUUAGAGCGACUAGCCCAGAGAUACAGGUGACCCUCGAAAGAGGCUUGAGAGAAGGUUAAGCGUGGCUUAGAUAGAAAAGAGGAAAGUCCCCAGAGCCCUCACGUCCCACUCCGCCGGGGAUCCUCCGGCCGGACUGCUUUCCCCGCUGCCAGGUGGGCUGCAGCCCGACGGAAGAGGUGGCACUAGGGACCCGGUAGGAGCGGUCGUCCGGAGCGGCGGCGGGGCUCUGCAUCGGUUUCCGAUGAGAGCAGCUCGGCCCCUGCUUCCACUUUUGUAUAUCAUCUUCCUCGGGCGCAAAACGAGCGCGGCUCACAGCGUGCAGCGCAGGCGGUCCCGGCUCAUCCCACGCCGGGCUCAGGCUCGCGGUGCCCCGGCGGCCGUGGGCAACCCCCUGGUAUUCGUCCCGGGGCCUGUCCCGAACGCGCCGCCUCGUGCGCCCGCCCGACGGGCUUUAGCUUUGCGGCCGAGCCGGAACGAGAGGGAGAGGGGUCGGUUUCCCAACACUUGAGACUCCCCGGGCUCAAACUACGUAACUCGACUGGCGGGUCCCAAAACAAGCGGACGACGAGGCCGCUCUGGACCCAGCCUCCAGGACCAGAGAGCAUGCAGCAUCCCGUUCGGUGCUUCUAGCUCAGGAGCCGAGAAAAGGGAACAGGGCCGGGGAAGAGAGGAGAAGCCCCGAGCUCCCAUCGCGCACAGAGCCCUUUGUCGCCUGCAGUGACCCAGCUUUAGCCUGAACCGCGGGGAGCCUCGUUGCGGCUAUCGCCGGUCGCGCCGAAGCCAAGCCCAACCUGCCAGGAGCGUGGCCACGGCAGCCCUCAAACAGCCGCCGCGAGUGGGAUUAGGGGAGGGCUCAUCGAUACGGCGUGGCACGUUUUGUUGCCGCUUCAGCACCGCGGGACGACCGCGCACCGAGGAGGCAAACGGGUCGGGGCCAGCCCACCGUAGCCGCCGAUGGGGCGCGCGGUCCGCCGGCAGGCGCGCGUC
rnacentral:lncRNA from 1 species